UAUGGCCAUACCACCCUGAAUGCGCCCAAUCUCGUCUGAUCUCGGAAGCUAAGCAGGGUCGGGCCUGGUUAGUACUUGGAUGGGAGAAAUAUCCUCAGCAUUGUUUUCUUUCCUGCUUUCUGAACAGGAGCCUUA
rnacentral:rRNA from 1 species